rnacentral:rRNA from 1 species
UGGAACGACUGCUAAUACCGCAUGAUGUCUACGGACCAAAGUGGGUUGACCUUCGGGCCUCACGCCAAGAGAUUAGCCCAAGUGGGAUUAGCUAGUUGGUAAGGUAAUGGCUUACCAAGGCGACGAUCCCUAGCUGGUUUGAGAGGAUGAUCAGCCACACUGGGACUGAGACACGGCCCAGACUCCUACGGGAGGCAGCAGUGGGGAAUAUUGCACAAUGGGCGCAAGCCUGAUGCAGCCAUGCCGCGUGUGUGAAGAAGGCCUUCGGGUUGUAAAGCACUUUCAGUAAGGAGGAAAGGUUAUACUUUAAUAGAGUAUAGCUGUGACGUUACUUACAGAAGAAGCACCGGCUAACUCCGUGCCAGCAGCCGCGGUAAUACGGAGGGUGCGAGCGUUAAUCGGAAUUACUGGGCGUAAAGCGUACGCAGGCGGUUUGUUAAGCGAGAUGUGAAAGCCCUGGGCUCAACCUGGGAACUGCAUUUCGAACUGGCAAACUAGAGUGUGAUAGAGGGUGGUAGAAUUUCAGGUGUAGCGGUGAAAUGCGUAGAGAUNCUGAAGGAAUACCGAUGGCGAAGGCAGCCACCUGGGUCAACACUGACGCUCAUGUACGAAAGCGUGGGGAGCAAACAGGUAUUAGAUACCCUGGUAGUCCACGCCGUAAACGAUGUCUACUAGAAGCUCGGGUCCUCGGACUUGUUUUUCAAAGCUAACGCAUUAAGUAGACCGCCUGGGGAGUACGGCCGCAAGGUUAAAACUCAAAUGAAUUGACGGGGGCCCGCACAAGCGGUGGNAGCAUGNUGGUUUAAUUNCGAUGCAACGNCGAAGAACCUUNACCUACACUUGACAUACUGAGAACUUACUAGANGAUAGNUUUGGUGNCCUUCGGGAACUCANGANUANCAGGUGCUGCAUGGCUGUCGUCAGCUNCGNUGUUGUGNNAGAUGUUGGGUUAAGUCCCGCAACGAGNCGCAACCCCUAUCCUUAGUUGCNUAGCAGGUAAUGNCUGNAGAACUCUAAGGAGACNUGCCGGUGAUAAACCGGAGGAAGGUGGGGACGACSUCARGUCAUCUAUGGCCCUUACGGCCUGGGCUACACACGUGCUACAAAUGGUCGGUACAMAGGGUUGCCAAGCCGCGAGGGUGGAGCUAAUCCCAUAAAACCGAUCGUAGUCCGGAUCGCAGUCUGCAACUCGACUGCGUGAAGUCGGAAUCGCUAGUAAUCGUGAAUCAGAAUGUCACGGUGAAUACGUUCCCGGGCCUUGUACACACCGCCCGUCACACCAUGGGAGUGGGUUGCACCAGAAGUAGCUAGUCUAACCCUCGGGAGGACGGUUACCACGGUGUGAUUCAUGACUGGGGUGAAGUC